ACUUCCGUUAAUUGAUUAUGACGUACUUGUACUGAUUGAGAUUUUAACACGAAGUGAGUGGCGAACGGGUGAGUAACACGUGGGUAACCUGCCCAGAAGUAGGGGAUAACACCUGGAAACAGAUGCUAAUACCGUAUAACAGAGAAAACCGCAUGGUUUUCUUUUAAAAGAUGGCUCUGCUAUCACUUCUGGAUGGACCCGCGGCGUAUUAGCUAGUUGGUGAGGUAAAGGCUCACCAAGGCAGUGAUACGUAGCCGACCUGAGAGGGUAAUCGGCCACAUUGGGACUGAGACACGGCCCAGACUCCUACGGGAGGCAGCAGUAGGGAAUCUUCCACAAUGGACGCAAGUCUGAUGGAGCAACGCCGCGUGAGUGAAGAAGGGUUUCGGCUCGUAAAGCUCUGUUGUUAAAGAAGAACGUGGGUAAGAGUAACUGUUUACCCAGUGACGGUAUUUAACCAGAAAGCCACGGCUAACUACGUGCCAGCAGCCGCGGUAAUACGUAGGUGGCAAGCGUUAUCCGGAUUUAUUGGGCGUAAAGCGAGCGCAGGCGGUCUUUUAAGUCUAAUGUGAAAGCCUUCGGCUCAACCGAAGAAGUGCAUUGGAAACUGGGAGACUUGAGUGCAGAAGAGGACAGUGGAACUCCAUGUGUAGCGGUGAAAUGCGUAGAUAUAUGGAAGAACACCAGUGGCGAAGGCGGCUGUCUGGUCUGCAACUGACGCUGAGGCUCGAAAGCAUGGGUAGCGAACAGGAUUAGAUACCCUGGUAGUCCAUGCCGUAAACGAUGAUUACUAAGUGUUGGAGGGUUUCCGCCCUUCAGUGCUGCAGCUAACGCAUUAAGUAAUCCGCCUGGGGAGUACGACCGCAAGGUUGAAACUCAAAAGAAUUGACGGGGGCCCGCACAAGCGGUGGAGCAUGUGGUUUAAUUCGAAGCUACGCGAAGAACCUUACCAGGUCUUGACAUCUUCUGACAGUCUAAGAGAUUAGAGGUUCCCUUCGGGGACAGAAUGACAGGUGGUGCAUGGUUGUCGUCAGCUCGUGUCGUGAGAUGUUGGGUUAAGUCCCGCAACGAGCGCAACCCUUAUUACUAGUUGCCAGCAUUAAGUUGGGCACUCUAGUGAGACUGCCGGUGACAAACCGGAGGAAGGUGGGGACGACGUCAAAUCAUCAUGCCCCUUAUGACCUGGGCUACACACGUGCUACAAUGGAUGGUACAACGAGUCGCGAGACCGCGAGGUUAAGCUAAUCUCUUAAAACCAUUCUCAGUUCGGACUGUAGGCUGCAACUCGCCUACACGAAGUCGGAAUCGCUAGUAAUCGCGGAUCAGCAUGCCGCGGUGAAUACGUUCCCGGGCCUUGUACACACCGCCCGUCACACCAUGAGAGUUUGUAACACCCAAAGCCGGUGGGGUAACCUUUUAGGAGCUA
rnacentral:rRNA from 1 species